rnacentral:rRNA from 1 species
UACGGAGGGUGCAAGCGUUGUUCGGAAUUACUGGGCGUAAAGCGCACGUAGGCGGGUUUGUAAGUCGAUUGUGAAAGCCCUGGGCUUAACCUGGGAAUGGCAGUCGAAACUGCAAAUCUUGAAUGUUUGAGAGGAUGGCGGAAUUCCUGGUGUAGUAGUGAAAUACGUAGAUAUCAGGAAGAACACCGGAGGCGAAGGCGGCUAUCUGGCAAUACAUUGACGCUGAGGUGCGAAAGCGUGGGGAUCAAACAGG